rnacentral:snRNA from 1 species
GUGCUUGCUUUGGCAACACAUAUACUAAAAUUAGAAUGAUACAGAGAAGAUUAGCAUGGCCCCUGCACAAGGAUGACAUGCAAAUUCGUGAAGCAUUCCAUAUUUUU